CGGGGUGCAGCAGGCGCGAAACCUCUGCAAUAGGCGAAAGCUUGACAGGGUUACUCUGAGUGACGUCCGUUAAGGACGUCUUUUGGCACCUCUAAAAAUGGUGCAGAAUAAGGGGUGGGCAAGUCUGGUGUCAGCCGCCGCGGUAAUACCAGCACCCCGAGUGGUCGGGACGAUUAUUGGGCCUAAAGCAUCCGUAGCCGGUUCUGCAAGUCUUCCGUUAAAUCCACCUGCUCAACAGAUGGGCCGCGGAGGAUACUACAGGGCUAGGAGGCGGGAGAGGCAAGCGGUACUCAGUGGGUAGGGGUAAAAUCCUUUGAUCCACUGAAGACCACCAGUGGCGAAGGCGGCUUGCCAGAACGCGCUCGACGGUGAGGGAUGAAAGCUGGGGGAGCAAACCGGAUUAGAUACCCGGGUAGUCCCAGCUGUAAACGAUGCAGACUCGGUGAUGGGUUGGCUUCGAGCCAACCCAGUGCCGCAGGGAAGCCGUUAAGUCUGCCGCCUGGGGAGUACGGUCGCAAGACUGAAACUUAAA
rnacentral:rRNA from 1 species